rnacentral:rRNA from 1 species
AACGAACGCUGGCGGCAUGCCUAACACAUGCAAGUCGAACGAGACCUUCGGGUUUAGUGUCGCACGGGUUCGUAACGCGUGGGAACCUGCCCUUAGGUUCGGAAUAACUCCCCGAAAGGGGUGCUAAUACCGGAUAAUGUCUUCGGACCAAAGAUUUAUCGCCUUUGGAUGGGCCCGCGUUGGAUUAGCUAGUUGGUAGGGUAAAAGCCUACCAAGGCGACGAUCCAUAGCUGGUCUGAGAGGAUGAUCAGCCACACUGGUACUGAGACACGGCCCAGACUCCUACGGGAGGCAGCAGUGGGGAAUAUAGGACAAUGGGCGAAAGCAUGAUCCAGCAAUGCCGCGUGAGUGAUGAAGGCCUUAGGGUUGUAAAGCUCUUUUACCCGGGAGGAUAAUGACAGUACCGGGAGAAUAAGCACCGGCUAACUACGUG